GUACCGGACAAACGUUUAUUCGGAAUCACUGGGCUUAAAGAGUACGUAGGCUGUCUUGUAGGUGAGGUGUGAAAUCCCACGGCCCAACCGUGGAACUGCGCUUCAAACCACAAGACUUGAGGGAGACAGGGGUGAGCGGAACUGAUGGUGGAGCGGUGAAAUGCGUUGAUAUCAUCAGGAACACCGGUGGCGAAGGCGGCUCACUGGGUCUCUUCUGACGCUGAGGUACGAAAGCUAGGGUAGCGAACGGGGAUUAGAUACCCCGGUAGUCCUAGCUGUAAACGAUGAGCACUAGUUCGGGGGGACUUCCCACAUCCUCCCGGACGUAGCGAAAGUGUUAAGUGCUCCGCCUGGGGAGUAUGGUCGCAAGGCUG
rnacentral:rRNA from 1 species